AAGUUAAUAAAAUUUUUAAUUAUGAUUUCAUUUACUCCAAAGUGCUAAGAAUAAUCUCAAAUAUAUUUAAAUAUGAUUGCUCUUUUUUCCUCGACACUCAAGCGAGGUUUAGUUAUAUAUUUGAUGUUUUUAAAGAGUUUUGAAAUCGUACUAUUAUUUUUAAAUAAUUAUUUUUUGUACUGUUAAAAAGUUAAUAAAAUUAGUAAAACAAUUUAUUUUAGUGAUACUUAAUAAUUUAAUAUCAGUUACUCAACAAUAUUUAUUAUUCAUCUAAAAUAAAGAGACAAAAUGAAUUGCCAAAUACUUUUUAAGUCAAUUCAACGAGGAACAUCAGUAAUUAUCUCCCGGAUAACCUCACUUGAGUCUAGUCAACUUAUCACUAGGCAAUUCCAUGGUUUAACUCAGACUCUUGUCACAGCAGGAAAUGCACAAAUUCCUGGAUCAAAUUUUUGUAAAAACUAUUUACUGCAAUCAGUUCAACCAAUUUUAAAUCAUGCGUGUGGUCUAAAACACAAGGCUAUCCUUAAGCGUCGUUGUAAGGAUUGUUAUAUUUAUGCCAUCGAAGGAAGGUGGUUCGUUGGAUGUAAAACAUUUGGUAGACAUAAACAAGCUCAGAUUGUUAAAAACGAAAGAAAUACAUGGAUGUUAACUUCUGUUAGUCAGUCUAAGAAACGCCCGUGGUGGUAAAUACAUUAUUAUUUAAUCAACCAUAA